rnacentral:lncRNA from 1 species
CCUACAUCACAGCUCACGGCAACCCCAGAUCCUUAACCCACUGAGCGAGUCCAGGGAUCAAACCCAUAAUCUCAUGGUUCCUAGUCAGAUUCGUUUCCACUGUGCCACGACGGGAACUCCUCUCUGUUUUAAUUAUGUGAAUUAUUUGUACAUAAAGCAAGCAAUCUAGAGGGCUAGGUAAUAAAAGGUGAUCUUUAGGAAGAUUGUUGGCAUUUUAUCUGCUUAUCGAUUAAGUCAUAUUUUCUAAUUUGUGUGCAAUUGACUUAUAUUGCUGUAUACUAAAAAAAUUUACUUAGACUUAAACAAUUACAGGGAAUUAAAUUUUGUCAGUUUCAAAUGGGCUUGAUUCUCCUUAUGCGGUGUAAACAUAUGGCCACAAAGUUAUACAUGGAAGGUUAACAAAGAACAGAAUUUACUAAAGAAAGUACAGGUGAGGUAAGCCGAUUCCCUUAACUGGGGCUGCAGUUAUCUGAGAGUCCUGGUAGCAAGUGCAAAAAAAGAACCAAGAAGAUGAGACCUUUUUUUUUUUUUAAUUUAAAAGCAAAAAGAUUCACCUGGAGGGUGAAUGUUCCCUGAGGCACAAAAUGAGCAGAAUGUAUUUCUUGUGAAGGACAAAGAUGAUACGCCGAUUCUUUAUUAUGUGGAUCAUCGGUUCAAGGAGGUGAUUUUUGAAUAGAACUUUCUUUAAAUUCUACUUUGAAAAUCACUGAGUGUUCAGAUUGAAUGAGAGUAACCUCAGGGGAUCCAACUCUUUCAAAGAUGAAGAAACCGAGGGUCAGAGUGGUGAAGUAAUUUGCUCAGCGAGCAAGGGAAGUGGGACCAGAGCCCAUUCCUGGCUCAGGGCUCUUGGUACCACACCCCAGGGUCUCCGUCCUCCAUACCUCUGGUCUGUUCUUUCAGGACCAGACCGGCUGUGACCAGCCCUGGGUCCAUGGUGUUUAUGUCUGAACCACAGGGCAGAGCUGCCAAGGAUGAGCGUAAGGACUUCUCUGCCGGCCAGGAGGCAGCUCUCUGCUGGGAAGGUGCCGCUUCUGGCGACACCCCCAGGAAGCAAGGACGCCUCGGGCAUUUCUCAGAGGCUCCCUUUCCUUGAGGCUGGUAAUGGGCUUGGGUCCCGACAAUGCCUGGGCGCCCUCUCCUGCCCACACCCAGCUAGAGAACCGAGUCUUCACACCCCACUUUGGGCUGGACUGUCUGAGAGACUGGGUCGUGUAGCAUAGAGUCUCAAUUGCCUCUGCCUGCCCGUCCUUUGAGAAUCCGUCAGUGCUUUACGGGGGCAGACCUUCCUGGGAGGGUUUUGAGAUGGCAUGAUUAUCCCAUUCGGGUAUAAAUUCUUGUCCCCAAAGCUCAUUAUUCCUGGAAAUGAGAAUGAUUGAUUUAGACUCUUUUAGUGUAAUACUCAGACAAAGGAGUGCUUGAAACGUAAUACGAUCACCUGGAAGGGAGACUGCUUCCUGAGAGGCAAGGAGCCAGACUGGAGAGAGAAGUGCUCCAGGAGGCUGUGGGAAGGGCUGCGGUCCCCCUCCCUGACUCCGUGCUUCCCCCCGGGCCCCGUCCCACCACUUGGGUGUGUGUGAGAAGGGGGACCGGGAAGUGUGGAGUGGGCACAUGGGUCUGAAAUGCUCCGAGUUAGGGAGGUCAGAGGAUGGAUUAGCUCUAGAGCCUCCAUUUUCCAUCCAGUUGCCCAGGAGUCCUUCUAGAUUCUUCUCCUUCCUUCACACCUCACAUCCAAUUUCUCUAAGUGUAAGACAGGGCCCACGUUUGGGACAGUCAGCAGUCUCCUGUGGCUUCUCCCUGUGCCCGGAACAACACCUGUGCUUUCUACCAUGGUUAUAGCAUCCCGUCUCUUUGGGACUCUGUCUUCUUUCUCAGCCUGGCUCCAUCCUUGCUCUCUGAUAUGUGUCUCCAGCCCCCCAACAUCCCAUUUCUGGUCUCUGAGCCCAGCAGGUUAAUUCCCAGCCUCAAAGUGUCUGUCCGUGGUGUUCCUUUGCCCGGCAUUGUCAAGGUGGCUCUUCCCCGUCAUUCUAAACACACACGUUUCUUCCGGGGGUGGGGGUGGUUUCCUCGGAUCCCCUAUCUAAAGCAGGUGCCCCGUCACUCCUUUGUAUCCCAUUGCCUUUGAUCCUUAUUCCAGCUCGCGUCUGUCUUUUUGUCGUGCUUGGUCAUUGGCUGUCUCCCACACUAGAUGAUAAGCCCUUAAGGGAAGGGACCAUUUUUUGUCUUGUUCAAGCCUGUAUCUCCAGUACCUAAAAGAGUACCUGGUGUGUAGUAGGGAACUCAAUAAAUAUUUGCUGGGUGAAUAAAAAGAAGCCUCAAGAGUGCCCAGCCAAGGAGGACACGGAAGAAUCAGCUCCCCUGCCACCAAGCUGCCCCGUGGUACAUGGCACCCACGUGCAAGCCCCACACACGGGGGCACUGCACAUGGGGUGCCUAGGGGGGCUGGCUCAACCCUGACAGACCAAGUGCAGGGAUGCUGGCUUCAUUCCUUCACACCGGACCCCAUCAGAACCUGUGGACAAGUCCCCUAAGUGGGUCACAUUCCUGGGCUUCUGUGAUGAGGGUCAAGAGGGUGGCGGAGGAGAGAUGGGCAGCUUCUUCAUGACAAAGGGCACGUCUGAAGGUGAGAUUUUGCAGAGUGGCUUAAAAAUCCUACCCAAGAUGGGGGGCCAGGGAGUUCCAGGGACACCAGGAACAGUCUGCUAACAGCAGACGGUCUGCUAGCAGCUGCCUCGUCUCUGCCCUGCACUUCGGGAUCUCCUGCAGUGCGCUCUGGGUUGGAAUGAUUCACCUGAGGCCUCCCCAUCCUCGUCCUCAUCCACGACCACCUUCUCAUCUGCACCUCCUCCGGAAGAGGGCUGAGAGGCCCACGGACCCUGCCAAGGUCAGGGAGACGCACUCUCCAGCCCACUGCCUUUCAGUAACAGCUCACCCAUCCAUCCCCGAUAAGUGAGCAGCUCCCUAGGUUUAAAAAUCGCCAGAAGGCGUUGUGUUCUUUUCGUUCUGUUUUUAUUGCAUUGUGAACAUCCGUACCAGGUUAAAUACACACAGAGGCAGGCAUCAGAGAGGCUGCAGACAACAUCCACAUGAUCAUACGUGCACACGGAGAGGGCGUACAGAGACACGGACAGAGCAGACAAAUACGCGGAGGGUACAGACUCCAGCCGCUGGAAGGCCGGCUACAUCCCAUACACAUUCCUGCACGAAGCAAAGCACAGGAUACAGAGAGCAGAUGCCUGUUGAUAAACAUCAUCAAUUAAAAUCCAGCCAUUUGUGUUACAGUUGACAACGACAACGAUAUACAGAAGCUUAUUAUAUCUCCAGGGCCAGGAGAUGUGGAAAACCUCCGAGAGCUGUUGAGAACCAUCUCGGAGGCCGGGCUCUGAGGGGAGGAGGAAGCCAGCGGUGACCACAGGGACAAUGUGGGGAGGAGACUGGACUGUCAGGCUGAGGAGUGGGAGCCGGGGCGGGGCGGGGGGCAGGUCAGUGGGGACAAUGGGCCACAAUCUUCAGGAACCUCGGUGACAUCAGGAAGAUCAAAGGCCCUUCUCCGUCUAGACCCGCAGCCCCAGCCCCACCUCCACUCUCCAGCCCUGCCGGAAAAAUCCAGGGAUUGAAAAUGACCCCACAGGAGCCUGUUUUUGCUUUUGUUGAUGUUACAUUUGGUGGCUCAGCUCCCGGUGCCGGAUACAAGGCAAAGGGCCUCACCCCUGUGUGGUGAGAACUGCCAUCCAAACCUCCAUCUGUCAGCCCUGGGGUCCAGCCCUGGCUCUGCAACCAACUAGCUGGGGGAUCCGGACAAGUCGCUUAACCUCUCUGAGUCUCAGUUUCUUCAUCCACGUUAGGAGGGGCCUGGCCAGAUGACCUCUAGACCCCUUCCAGCCCUUAUAAGGAGUGAGUUUUAAUAGCACCUUUUUCUGAAGAAAUAAGACAGAAAGGAGAUGACUGAAGAAAGGUAAUACAGCUUCCCAGCCACCUCUCUACAUCCUCCCGCCCCCCCAGGUCACUCCCAGACACCAGACCCAAAGCCAGCAACCAGACACCUUGGGACCUGGCUCUGUGCCCAGACCCAUUCCAAGGCAUUGAGGGCAGACCCCUCUGGACUUACAGUCACUAGAACAUGCCCCUCAAACGCAGAAGUGACAUUGUGUUUGUUGUGUAAAUCCCAACCCCCCAGCCCUGUGCCAGGCAAGUAGCAGAUGCUUUGAGCCUCAGCCUCCUGCAACUUCAUAGGUCAGAGGAACUGGACUGAGUUUCUGCGGGGUUUGAGUACCACACAUUGCAGCUACCCGCCUUGUCCCUGGGGCUCCGGUAGAGGGGCCUCAAAAAUGCCAAAGUGGAAAUAGGGAAAAGCAAAGUGAUUGGGUAUCAGGGAAUUUGUCCACUUCCUGGCAAAGCAGUGGCCACAGCAAAUCAUCCACCAUCUUUCCUCCUCCUUUUCCACUAUUAGGAGAAGGAGCAGGUUCCUUAUGUUCUUGUCCCCUGUCUGCAAGGCACCACUGUUACCAUGAAAGUGUGAAGCAGGGGGCUUUGUUCUCUGAAUGUGUCUUGGUGGCCAUGUCCGCUCUCUCUGUUUUCUCCACUGGUCCGUGCUCAAGAAGCACCUGAAUUCCCUCUGCACCAUGUCUCUUCCCUUCCCUGGCCUUUGGUACCCAGGGAGGGCUCCUGCCUGCAUGGCUGUCUCCCACUCCUGGGGAUGGAAUUACAUCACCCCUUGGUCUUCUCUUCUAGGACCCAAUAAAGCUCAUUAAUUCCUAUAACUGUUUCUGAGCCCCUUCCCUGUCUUUGCAGUUCAAAAAUAGCAUCUGUUUGCGUGCCUCUCUUUGGGUCUAUAUCCUCUCCUAUCCACUGGAAACAGUAGAGAUUAGUGUUUAAGUACCUGGCCUCUGAAAUCAAACAGUCUUGAGUCGGAGUCUUGGCUCAUCAGUUACAAGCUGUGUGAUCACGGCAAGUUAUUUAACCUUGUGGAGCUCAUCUGUGAAGAGGGAUGCAUGAGAGCAUCGGCAUCACAGCCCUCGUGAAGACUGAACGAGGUCAGGCCUGAGAAGUGCUUACCACCCUGGACAGCCACCUCCCCAAAUCCCACAGUGCAUUCUGCCUUGCCUCCCGGUCCCCCUCUAGACCCCAGUAUAAUCUAUAGCCCACCCAGCAGACUUUCCCAGAUCAUGGAAAUUCCAAUAUGGUAGCCACAAGCCACCUGUAGCUUCUGAACACUUAAGAUGUGGCUGGUACAACUCAGAAAAUGUAACUUUCAUUUUACUUCAUUUGAGUUAAUUUAAACGCAAUUUGCCAUGUGUGUUUCGUGGCUACCAUAUCGGACACAUCCAGUGGAUGUUUCUAUAUAGAGAGAGACAUCUCUGGGCCAUGACUACCUAUGGCUGUAUCUUGCCUGUGCACGAGGGAAGGGCUGGUCUUUUGAGCGAACCAGGGGAAGUCUGGUAAAAAUGUGGCCUGAGGGUCUCUUCUUGACACGAGAGGAUAUCUUGGGCCGGUCAUUUUAUCUUUGUGCCUCAGUUUCCUCGCCUGUAAAAUUGGGUAGGUGACCAGUGUUCCAAGCCCCUUCAGUCCAGGGCUGUGGUAUAUGAGCACAUGGGCUGUGCACAGCGCUGUUGCAGACAGGCAGCGCCGUGCACGGAGGUAGCAAUGAGAAGGGUGCCUCCUGGAGUUGUGCAACCUCACAGUCUUGCUUCCAUCCCUAAAUAUGCUGGGGCUUGACAAGGCUGGUUUUCCAGAUUGCGUCUCCUGAGACCCUGAGACCUCCCAGAAGCAGCAGCCGCUGAAUGCAACGUGGAGGUGGGAGAAAGGAUGGGGCAGGAGGGAAGAUGCCACAUAUGGUGAUGGGUCAGAUUCCCUCUGUCAACACUGCCUGGGCCAGUGACUAGACUCUGCUUCAGUCUCAGAGUCUACAUAUUGCAAAUGUUUGCAGCCACUAUUGAAUAGGGACUAAUGUAAGGCAUCGUUAUAGACAAGCAGUCUUAGUAGACAGUCACAUCUUAGCAUGAAUGAGCCCAUUCUAAAGUGCUAACUAGCUGAGAUCUGUGUUGCUGAGGCAGAACCAUCACUGCCUAGAGGAGGUGACCUGGGCAGGACCUGGGAGAGUGAAGCUGAAGUGUGUGUGUGUGUGUGUGUGUGUGUGUGUGUGUGUGGGUAGUACCUGCAGAAGCCCUAGAGGGGAUGAAAGGUCCUGAAAGAGGGGAGAUUGGUGCUCCCAGCUCACUUCCUGGGCAGCUCCUUUCCGCCAGUGCUCACCCUCCAUAGGGACAGGUGGGGCACUUGGACAGCAGAGCUGUUCCCACACCCCUUCUCCGUGUCCUUGCUCACUCCCAAUUCAACAAUGCAAGGA